UACGAAGGGGGCAAGCGUUGUUCGGAUUCACUGGGCUUAAAGGGCGCGUAGGCGGCGAUUCAAGUCCGGGGUGAAAGCUUUCGGCUCAACCGGAAAAGUGCCUUGGAUACUGGAUCGCUCGAGGGGGGUAGGGGCAGGCGGAACUUCCGGUGGAGCGGUGAAAUGCGUAGAUAUCGGAAGGAACGCCGGUGGCGAAAGCGGCCUGCUGGACCACUCCUGACGCUGAGACACGAAAGCGUGGGGAGCAAACAGG
rnacentral:rRNA from 1 species